rnacentral:misc_RNA from 1 species
AUUGAGAGAGAGAAUCUUGAUUUGAUGUCUCUAAAAUUUCGUGUCCUUGAUGAAGCUGAUGAAAUGCUUAAUAUGGGAUUUGUUGAUGAUGUUGAACUUAUUCUUGGGAAGGUUGCUGAUGUACGUAAAGUGCAGACACUCCUCUUUAGUGCAACCCUACCUGAAUGGGUGAAGAAGAUUUCUGCAAGGUUUCUAAAACCCGAUAAAAAAACUGCUGAUCUUGUUGGGAAUGAGAAAUUAAAGGCCAGUGCCAGUGUCAGACAUCUUGUUCUUCCCUGUUUUCGCACUGCAAGACCACA